GAGCUGCCGGCGUGUGAGGAUAGUUUUUUGCGCGCGCUCUAUCCUGACAACUGCACAACCACGUGGUGCUCCCAUAUAUCUCUCGCCUUCCAACGUCGCUGUCGUACAUUAUAUUGCAUGAUCGCGUGACACGUUUGGAAAUCGGGUCGUGCGUUUCGUUUCGUUUCCUUGCAAUUCAAAUUGUCGAUUGUCGGCAUUACGAGCCGCCUAUCCUUCGAUUUUCCGCGGCGUCGCGACGCCAUCAUUCUGUCAAAAUUUCAAAGCUCAUAGCAAGAUAUCCAUGAGUGUAUAAGAUAUAUUUGUGAGUGUUUAUAAAGUUCUUCGUGUCAUUAAGAGGCUGCGACAAGAGAGUGACUGAGAAAAGGGAUGACUAACAAACGUGCGAUUAAUCGAUGUGUGAAUUAAUUCUGAACUAACAACAUGUAACGACACCGCAACGCGACCAAUCAUGGAGAAGAGGACGUUAAAAGGAAUCGACGGCGCGAUAAUAAGGACGUCGUGGUGUGCACGGCACAUUCGAAAUCCAAUUAAUAUCUAUCAAUUAAUUUAAUCUUACCGGGGUAAUAAACAUAUUUAUUUAACUAAACAAGUGAUAUAUAUAUA